AAGGGAGCCAUGAAGAGGAGCUUGGAGUGGGCAAGGGAGAGGCUGAUAAAGCAGUAGAGAAGACAUGAUUCAUCAAGUAUCACAGUUAAUUCUGGUGAUUCUGACCUGGUUGGAAUGCGCAACACGGCAAGAUACUCCACAGAAACAUCCAAACAUGAAUGGAUCGAUACUUCCAAUCUGCCUGGCUCUAUGUCUGGCUGGCUGGGCUGUAUCUGGCGCUUCUAUUGAAGCUCAGAAGACCUCUUCUGUCUGUUACCUCUGUAACAAAACUCAAUGCCAAAAUAUUGAGUCUGUUUAUGACCAUUUGUCGACUAAUUCGGCCCUGUGGUCACGAGGUGAAAUGGCUGAGCUGCCUCCCUGUCCCACAACCUCCCCUCCACCAUCUGGAAAAUGCUUGUUGUGUGUUAAGAGCCAGAAGGUCUACACUGCGUGUGACUCAGAGAUCAUCAAGCCAGCCUUUGAGGGCCAAGGCAGCUCCAUGCCUGUCAUCGAAGCCAAUUGCACUGGCAUUGUUUCAACUGAUCAGACGGGUGAGUUCCAUUCAAUAUUCAAACUGUAUUUCAAACAAAACA
rnacentral:lncRNA from 1 species